UACAGAGGGGGCUAGCGUUAUUCGGAAUUAUUGGGCGUAAAGAGCUCGUAGGCGGUUUGUCACGUCUGCUGUGAAAUCCCGAGGCUCAACCUCGGGCCUGCAGUGGGUACGGGCAGACUGGAGUGCGGUAGGGGAGAAUGGAAUUCCUGGUGUAGCGGUGGAAUGCGCAGAUAUCAGGAGGAACACCGAUGGCGAAGGCAGUUCUCUGGGCCGUAACUGACGCUGAGGAGCGAAAGCGUGGGGAGCGAACAGG
rnacentral:rRNA from 1 species